GGGCUGGAGGGAGAUGGCGCCGCGCUCCCGGAUGAACAGAGAAAGCGACAGGACGCCCUUGCAUACAUUAAGAUAUGUAUAUAUGGAAAUGUUACCGGGAGUCCCGGUUAUCCCAAAAAGGGUUGUUUCCUGUUGCGUGGUGAGGCCAAUGCACGAAACCGAAAGGGAGUGUGUCAAGCAGUGCAGGCUGUAUUCAAUGGCUAUGGAAUUGGAAGAUCUGAAAUCAACUUAGCUUGUGAGAGCUGGGAAGUUUCAGAGGUAGGGUGUCUUUAAUGAAGGGGCUGGGCAUUAAGAGCACGGGGGGGAAUAUUCGUGCUUUCCUUGGGAAAGAACGGAGAUUUUUCCCGGAAUCAAGAAACCCCUUUUUUUCUGUCCCUUCUUGGUCUCUUCCAGUCGUUGUCAUGGCGACAUGUUGUUUAGCAUGAGAACAGGAUGAUGAUAAAGCCAGAGGCUCUUCAGAGGCGCCAUCUUGGAUUUCGCCAGCUUCAGCUGGUUUCGUCCUAAGAAGGAACUUCGAAACACAGGCAUUCUUUUUCCUGAAAAUAAGCAGAGUUACAGCUGAGUAGGAAUUUAGCUCUGUCCCAUAUGCUAUCGCAUUGGGCAGCAAAAGCAGGGUGGGGUCCAGCGAAAUCAGCAGGCACUGCAAUGAGUAACAUACCCAGCCACGUUUAUGCAGCAUUUUUACGAAAAUGAAACCAUACUACCUGUAAAGGAAGAUAUGCUAACAAACAACAAAACUGGCAGGAACCAAGAUUCCUACUGACACUACCCUUAGUU
rnacentral:lncRNA from 10 species